AAAAACACAGCGCAAAAAAGACAGGGACACGAGAGAGUGACAUGCACACAGCGCUGUUAGUUUGGCAAAAACCA
rnacentral:lncRNA from 1 species